rnacentral:rRNA from 1 species
GACGAACGCUGGCGGCGUGCCUAACACAUGCAAGUCGAGCGAUGAAGUUCUUCGGAACGGAUUAGCGGCGGACGGGUGAGUAACACGUGGGUAACCUGCCUUGUAGAGGGGGAUAGCCUUCCGAAAGGAAGAUUAAUACCGCAUAACAUCAUUUUAUCGCAUGGUAGAAAGAUCAAAGGAGUAAUCCGCUACAAGAUGGACCCGCGGCGCAUUAGCUAGUUGGUGAGGUAACGGCUCACCAAGGCGACGAUGCGUAGCCGACCUGAGAGGGUGAUCGGCCACAUUGGAACUGAGACACGGUCCAGACUCCUACGGGAGGCAGCAGUGGGGAAUAUUGCGCAAUGGGGGAAACCCUGACGCAGCAACGCCGCGUGAAUGAAGAAGGCCUUAGGGUUGUAAAGUUCUGUUUACGGGGACGAUAAUGACGGUACCCGUGGAGGAAGCCACGGCUAACUACGUGCCAGCCGCCGCGGUAA